rfam:Ovis aries breed Texel chromosome 6, whole genome shotgun sequence.
UCCCUUGUAGCUCAGCUGGUGAAGAAUCUGCCUGCAAUGCAGGAGCCCCGGGUUCAAUUCCUGGGUGGGGAA